UUUCAAGAAGAGACAACCAGUACGCCUACUUAGCAAUUCCUCGUAAAUAAAGAUGCCGAAAGUCAGACAAUAGAUAGAGAGUCUCAGAUCAUAAGUAGUUCUUUGAAAUAGAAAAUAGGGACCUUUUUCACCGACAUAGUCAGAAGCUAUGGAUGUUGAAAACGCACAAGCGAAGCGCCUUAGUCAGCGGAAGGGAAGAAGUCACCCUCAAUUCGAUCUAGCAAGAAAUGCUUUACCGAUAAAGUCAAGCGAGAGACAGUAGAUUCCUUCUUAGGGUUCCAAUAAAUUCGACUAGUGCAAAGA
rnacentral:lncRNA from 1 species